rnacentral:ncRNA from 1 species
CACAGGUUUGGUCCUGGCCUUUCUAUUAAUUCUUAAUAAAAUUACACAUGCAAGUAUCCGCGCCCCGGUGAGAAUGCCCUCCAGAUCCUAAAGAUCAAAAGGAGCAGGUAUCAAGCACACCUAUAACGGUAGCUCAUAACGCCUUGCUCAACCACACCCCCACGGGAAACAGCAGUGAUAAAAAUUAAGCCAUGAACGAAAGUUUGACUAAGUUAUAUUAAUUAGAGUUGGUAAAUCUCGUGCCAGCCACCGCGGUCAUACGAUUAACCCAAAUUAAUAGAUCCACGGCGUAAAGAGUGUUUAAGAAAAAAAAACCACAAUAGAGUUAAAUUAUAACUAAGCUGUAAAAAGCCCUAGUUAAAAUAAAAUAACCCACGAAAGUGACUCUAAUAAUCCUGACACACGAUAGCUAGGACCCAAACUGGGAUUAGAUACCCCACUAUGCCUAGCCCUAAACCCAAAUAGUUACAUAACAAAACUAUUCGCCAGAGUACUACUCGCAACUGCCUAAAACUCAAAGGACUUGGCGGUGCUUCACAUCCACCUAGAGGAGCCUGUUCUAUAAUCGAUAAACCCCGAUAGACCUUACCAACCCUUGCCAAUUCAGCCUAUAUACCGCCAUCUUCAGCAAACCCUAAAAAGGAACAAUAGUAAGCACAAUCAUAACACAUAAAAACGUUAGGUCAAGGUGUAGCUUAUGGGUUGGAAAGAAAUGGGCUACAUUUUCUACAUAAAGAAUACCCACCAUACGAAAGUUUUUAUGAAACUAAAAACCAAAGGAGGAUUUAGCAGUAAAUCAAGAAUAGAGUGCUUGAUUGAAUAAGGCCAUGAAGCACGCACACACCGCCCGUCACCCUCCUCAAGCAUGUAGUAAUAAAAAUAACCUAUAUUCAAUUACACAACCAUGCAAGAAGAGACAAGUCGUUACAAGGUAAGCAUACUGGAAAGUGUGCUUGGAUUAC